CUUUCGAACUGCAAGGUUGGCAGGAGCUGGGAUGGAGCAACAGGGACUCACCCCGUUGUGCAGAUUUGAACCAGCGACCUUUCGAUCAACCAGCCCAGCAGCACAGUGGUUUAAACCGCUGCGCCACGAAACAUCCAUGGCGGAACCUAAAUCUUUCUGCAUGCAAGGCAGGCGUUCCACAGCUGGCUGUGCCACAAGCCUCAAUGAGUCCAGGAACCCACCGAGCUGUGAUUUCUCUCCCGUGCAACAACUCCGAGCGGUCAGAGCACCUGCGGCAGCUCCUAGUGAGACCUCUCCCCAUGUCGCCCUCUGUGCGCGCCUGUACCGGGCCAGGUACCUUGCAAUAGACCUCCAUUCAUGGGAAAGACUGCAGUUCACGGAUGGAGCAGUGUGUAUGGAAGAUCCCCAUUCAAUCCAUCGCAUCUCUGGGCAGGGCCGGGAAAGGCCUUGGAGAGUUACUGCUGCCCUUCAGGAUAGAGACCAAAAGAGCUGUGCUGCAUGACACAGAGGCCUACUUUGUCCAGCGAUCUGCUCGUACUGCAGCCAACCAGAUGCCUCUGGGAAGCCGACAAGCAGGAUGUGGAUGUAAUAAGCACCUUCCCUUUAAUACUCCCCAGCAAUUGGCAUUGAGAGUCGGGCUACCUAUCCAGGUGCUUCCAGACAGGGUUUCUAACCUGCAAUUGCCCUGCCUCAAACAUGGCAUUUUAUGGGGGGAAGGUGCUGUUUUCCAUCUCGUGUUUUCCUGCUUGGAGGAGAUGUUUCUCUCCCUCUCAUCAUGCUAGAACCUUGGGUUAUCCCGUGAAUUUGUGGGAGAUUCAAGAUAGACAAAAGGAAGUCCUUCGUCAUACAGCAUAUGCUUAAAUUACAGAAUUCCCUUCCACGGGAUUUAGUGAUGGCCACCAAUUUGGAUGGCAUUGGACAAAUUCAUGGAGGAGGGGGCUAUCGGUGGCUGUUAGUCUUGAUGAUGUAUCGUGCUACCUCCAGGAUGCCUGUGUACACCAGCUGCUGGGGAACAUAGGCAGAGAGGUCCUGUCGCCCUCACAUCCUGUGGGCCUCUGGCUGGCCACUGCAUAAACAGACUGCUGGAUGGGAUGAACUUUUAGUCUGAUCCAGCAGGGCUCUUUGUCACUCUUUUUUGCAUCAAGGGGGAAAAAGAACCAAUCGCUGCAUGAUACUUUUCAGCUGGUAGUGCCAGGAGCCAUCCAACUGAUUCAGCCAGGAGCUGGCAGCUCCUUUGGACAGGACCAGUCGUCAUGGCCAGCCUUAGCCUUUCUGGCAGUGCUGAGCUAGAUGGACCAGUGGCCCCACUCCAAGUUCAGAGCACAUGGAGGCCUUCGCAAGCUCUCAUCCAGCAGCCUGAUCUGUCUCCUCUAGGCCCAUCGCAUGCCCACCAGGUGUGCUGCACAAGAAAGCCAACCUGGCUGGACAGGAGCAGGCUGUUGGGGACUUCGCACCGGGUGCAGGAGGGCUGGUUGCUGGGUUUGGCAUAGCAUGCUGCUCUCUGGCGCUGCGUCCUCAUGGGAAAGGUCAGGUCAGGUCAGGAGGAGAGAGCACGCUGGAAUGCCUGCAGUGACACAGCACGUGCGGAGGCCAAAAUAUACCUCUUUAAAAAAACAAGACAUUUUAGAUUUGCAAGGAACUGGCUGCAUUUUGCAGUUGGGGGUCAUAUUUUAUGUCCCAAGGAUGGUCAGAGAGAGUAAAGGCUUUCCUGUUUACAUAUUAUGCAAAUCAAUAAACAUAACAAAAGC